rnacentral:lncRNA from 10 species
UGUCUUUUCACUGUGUUGAUUUUUCUCAGGAAGUGAAAUUCUGCUUCAUCGAUGAAUAACAGGAUUUUAUAUAAAACUUUGAAUGACAUAGGAGGGACAAUUUGCAUAGAACAACAAGUCCUCAAACUGGCCACAAGAAACUUCUGUACUUUUUCUCUCAAGGUCAUACAGCCCUGAAUCUGAUAGCAACAGAGCUUCAGCAAUAACAGCAGAUGCCAUCUUAGAUUAAUAUGAUGUCAGAAGUGGGAUCCAAAGUAGAGGUUCUAACGACCCCCAAGAACACUGAGUGACCAAACAAGGUACCUGCUGGACUCACUUGUGUCUGCUGAUCUUUCAGGGCAGCUGGGGAUUGUGGGCAGUUGCACAACCUGGAGGCUGGCAUCAUGGGGUCAUUUAGGAUUGAAUCUGAAGGAGCCGCUGUGGUGGAAAUGAAAUCCCUGCACAAAAGAAGCUGGGGCUGAACUAUCAUAUUCUCCUGGAAGUAGUGGUGCUUUUAUAAUCUUUGGCCUGCAAUGUUAUUUGAAGUGUGAAUGUCUUCUAAUUUUUCUGACUCAAUGUCAUUGGCUUUCCUGAGUAUGAAGAUUAAGGUUUAUCACCAGUUUGAAGAAAUGCUUAGUGAUUUUUAAAAAUCUACCCAGGUAUAUCAUAGAUCUUGUAGCCUAUGUGUCUCAUAAAAAUCCCUUUUCUUUAUUUAUCUCCCUUGCAUUCUGAAUAAUUUUGUCAAUUCUACUUACUAGUCCAUUAUUAUUUUAUUCCUUGGUGUCAAAUAUAAUGUUCUACCCAUGAUAUGCAUCUUUAAUUUCAAUACUAUAUUUCUGGAAGUUCUAUUUAAUUCUGUUUUGAGACCUCUAGCUAAGUUUUAAUACCUG